rnacentral:rRNA from 1 species
AGCGAACGCUGGCGGCAGGCCUAACACAUGCAAGUCGAGCGGCCGUAGCAAUACGGCAGCGGCAGACGGGAGAGUAACACGUGGGAACGUACCCUUUGGUUCGGAACAACACAGGGAAACUUGUGCUAAUACCGGAUAAGCCCUUACGGGGAAAGAUUAUCGCCAAAGGAUCGGCCCGCGUCUGAUUAGCUAGUUGGUGGGUAACGGCCCGACCAAGGCGACGAUCAGUAGCUGGUCUGAGAGGAUGAUCAGCCUCACUGGGACUGAGACACGGCCCAGACUCCUACGGGAGGCAGCAGUGGGGAAUAUUGGACAAUGGGCGCAAGCCUGAUCCAGCCAUGCCGCGUGGAUGAUGAAGGCCC